AAGAGUGGGCAGGAGGGCUGCCAGCCCACGUGCCAGCAGAUGGACAGGUGAAGGCAGGGAUCUAUCUUUCUGCUGCUGCUACAAGGCAUCGAGGCUGUGUGAGAAGGGCUGUCCUUUUCUGGUGGCUUGUCCAACAGGUUUCUUUUAUAUUGGUUUCUCAGUUAUCAGAGAGAAAACCAAACCAGACAGACCAACCAACCACCAAACCCAUGCUGAGGCUGAGGGAGCCCUUCCUCCCUGCCACGUACCCGCACAGCUCUCCUGCCCUGAGCCCGGCCUAGAUUUCUCUCUAACCAUGACAGGUUUUGGUGACCUGUGAUCACCGACCAGCUGAUGUGAGUGUGUGCUCCAGGGAAACUGCUUCCUUUUCAUUCCCUGCUCCUUCCAAAAUUACCCUUGAGUUAAUUUAGAGAGGAGAAUGAUGUCAAGACUCUGGAGGCACCAUAGUAGCAGAAGAAAAAAGUGCGGCUACUCCUGAGCUUUGCUGGAGUGAGCACACAGGUCAUCAGGCCAAUUAGAAGCCAGCCGGGGCUGCGAGGAUUCGUGAAUGCUGGAGACCAAAGGCAGUGUAUGGAAAAUAAGAUUUAUAUAUAUAUAUAUAUUUAUUUGUUGUGCUUUUCAGAGGAAUAAUUUUUAAUAGCUUUUUAGUUUUUCCUAUUUAGUUUUAUUUUGUUUUGCUCACAUUUUUCUAUUUUUUUUGCAAAUCUACCAUGAAAUGCAGAAGAAGGAUGCUCUGGGGUGAGAGAGUACAAAGGUGUCUCACUGCAGACUUCAAACAAACUCUGCCAUGAGUAAAUCCAUAUCAAAUUCAUGUAAAAUUGAGUUGCCUAGCACGCUUUUGAUGUUCCUGAAUUACUGCACAAAAACGUUCAGCAGAGAUUAUCUAUUAAGAUUUUUAGCUCAGUCAAGCCUCCCUUUAACCAGACAAAAACACUUCACCCUGGGUGAGCCCAGCUGACAGCUCUCAUCCCGCUGGUACAGAAUGGAUUGACUGGUGCCUUUCUUGGCAGUGCUGUUCUGAUCAUGUCCAGCACAGAGCCGAGCAUGGCCAGCAGGGCAGCUCCGGGGCACAGGGCUCACCCCCCGGCUGGGGUGGGGAAAUGUGCAGUCACCGAGUUCAUUUCGGUUCUCCAGCAGACAGGCGUGGAGGUGCUGGACUGGCACGGGAUGUCUUCCCAUGGCAAAAUGAAGGCACUGCUGGGUAUUUGCGUUCUGACUGCUUCUUUUCCUUGCUUUAUUGAUGAAAAAAGUAACAGAGUGGGCUUGACCUUCUGUAUUUAGAAGGGAAAAUCGACGCAAUGUAGAACGUUGAUAAUUUCUGACGUACUAUUUCUGAUAUGUUCAUUCUAACAGAUUGUGAUUAACUUCAUUUACUAUCAGCACUUGUGUGUGCGUGUGGGAAGAUCUCGCAGACAUCCCUCCCCCACAGAGGACAGGUGGGAGCUCAGUUCAGACCUGAAAUAACUCUUUGAAGGUGAACUGAUGCCUGUAAACCAAAACCCAAGGCCCUGCACCAAGGGUGGGUGCCAGUGGGGAUUGUGCAGGUGCUGGGUGGCAAAUGGACACAGCCUGGGGAGAGAGAAGGAGCUUUCUCCUCUUUGUAAGGGGAAGUGUCAUUUAACACAAGUCCAAGCUGGCUGGCUGAAUUUUGUUUAUGCUUGGAAAAGAGCAACCCCCAAACCAAACUGUGUGAAACUGAGAAGGUUUCAGCCCCAUGGGAUGUCUGGGGGCUUGCAAGCAGACAGCAGCAAGGAGCAGUCACGCAGCAUCACUAACGCUCAGCCGAGCAUGGCACUGUGCUGUGGGCACACCAGUAGUGCUGCAGGGAAAUCAGGGAAGCAGCAGGGCUGGGACCCUGCAGCCCGUGAGCCAUGGUGCCCAUGGUGCAUGGUGCCCACGGCUGGGCCGGCCUGCCGGCUACAGAGCGCACAGAGCUGAGCAGAGUGCUGCGCAUCUCUGACUGCCGCCAGCAGUGGCUCAGCGCCUCGAGGGGCUGCAGCUGCAGGAGGAGAUGCUGGGGGCUGUGGAUCGUGGCAAGCGGGCAGGAGCUCAUGUUGCCAGGCCCAUGGGUUGGUUGGCCAGCCCAGGCUGUGUGUGAUGGUGCUGGCCUGGGCUCUGAGCGGCAAUGGGCAUCUGCAGCCCCCAGCUGACCCCCAGGGCCCUGUGACCGAUAUCCCAGGGGUGCAGGAGAUGCUCUGGGAACUGGGGGCCUGCUGGACCCCCCCCUCCUGCUGUGAUCUGUGACAUUUGUUUCCUUCUGCCUGUGCUGCUCUUGCUCUGUUACAUGGUGCCUUGCCUCGGAGCUUGAAUUAUUGCCUACAUGCAUGGGUAGAGCCUUUGGAAAACAACUGAGCAUGUAAUUAAGAGAGUCAGUGUGUUUUAUGGGGAUAGUGACGAAAGGAAACAGCUUUUCACUUUAGUAAUUGUGAGUGCCUGUCAGAAGAGAUUUGUGGCAGAGGGAGGUCAGUGGGAAGAGAGCUCCCACUGCAGAGAGUGGGCUUCUUCCUCGAGUGCUGGAGCUGCUCAUCAUUUAUCAGCCUUCCGUCUGAAUUCAUCAGACUCGUUGCAGAUGCCAUGUGUGUGCAUUGGCCGGGUGCUCUCCAGGCACGCACAGCCCGCUUUGCAAUCUGAGCUGAAAAAGCCCCUAAACCCAAACCCCGCGGAGCAAUCUGGAUGGGGGAGUGUCAGCGGGUCGAGCACAGCCCGGAGUGCUGGUGCCAGCUCACUUCUGUAAGGGCAGAUUGCCAUCGUGCAGUGGCCUGGGUUCUUCCAGACAGGAAGAGCAAGGGAGGAUUUUGCUGAUACUUGGAUUGUUGCACUCUGCAGAUAGUUCUAAUCAAGCGGCACAUUAAUGCAUCUCUUGUUUUCCAGUAAGUCAUUAGUCGCUUAAGUGAAGUUGCUCAUGUCAGUUUUCCCUUUCAUUAAAUAUUCAUAUUUACUAAUGGAAAUUGUCUUGACAAAUUGGUCAAACUGAGCAACUUAGGAAUUUACGCCGCAGACUAAAAAAAGUUGUUUGGAACUCCCAGUGAGCCGAAGUAACGCUUGAAAUCAUUAACACUUCAUUGAUUUCCUAAUUAAAAAUCCGUAGAGUAAAUAGAGCAUCCUUUAAGUGUGGCGUAGCUGUUCAUCUCGAUGCUUAGUAUUAAUAUUCAUUUUUUUCCGGAGAAUAUCCAUGAGGUUCUAAAGACGCCUUCUGCCGGCGCCGCUCGCCGUCCCUGCGGGCGCUGUGCCGGGCUCCGGGGGCUCCUGGUGCUUUGCAGUGCAGGAGGCGGCCUUGCCGAGCCGGCUGGCUGAGCCAAGGCUGAGCUAACGCCGCCUGAGGCCACAGCAACCAGUGCUCACAAAUGGAUCCCUAUCUCCUCUAAGCAGGCUUACGUGGCCGAAGGCUUAUGAUGAAGUCAGAUGGGGGUAAUCUUUCAUGGAGACUAAUUCAGCCCAUUAACCAAUAACUAAUAGCCCGUAACUAGUUUCACAGAGAAUUGUAUUUUGAUUUGCUGCUCCCAAAGCGUGGCGGCUAGAGAGUCUGAAGAAAAGAGGAGAGCUCUUUAACAUAGAUGCUUUUUUAAAAGCCUUAACUUAUUUUGAUAAUAACCGUGCUGCUACUUAAAAACAAAACAAAUAGGAGGGAACAAAGUCACCCUUCCAUAAAGAAUUUCAUGCUUUGCAUGGAAGUGGCUCCAGCUGGGUCAGCAGCUGCCGUGUGCCUUUAGAUGCACUGCGCCCGGUACCCUGCGCUGCUGCUCGGGCCCAGGAAGGCAUUACAAAGGAUUGGAGAGGCACAACCAGCAGGAGCACAGGACGUGUUGAACUCACCAACUUCAGAUUUCUUGGGAUAAUGAGAGCCUUCUGUUGCUUCAAUAUCAAUCUAUUUUCUGUUCUAAUUAGUCUUCAUCUGCCUAUGAAAUGCGUUCUAGCGGUGAGCUCUCAGCGCAGCAGUGAAGCCCUGCGUGCAGAAAGCAGUGACAAGCAGCACGGAAGCUCUUGGGAGGAGCAUUAACCUUAGGGCCCAGGACCUGCUGGCCGAUGUUGCACACAAAGACCUGGCUGCAGCUGCUCUAACAGGAUGGCACGCAACUCCAGCCCAAUCUGAUUGAAAACAUCCUAUUUUUAGCAUCCUUAACUAUCACAGAUUUAAGUAGAAAUGCCUGGUUUCAAAACCAGACGACAGAGCAGUGUGAUUCUUCUCUGCUCAAAGAACCCUUUGCUUCUAAUUGCUGCCGAACCAAGUGUGCGGUUUUGUGAAGGGAGAUGCUGACUUCACAGGGAGCCUGUGAGCGUGGGGCUGCAGCCGGUGCCUGUGUGCAGCGGGAGCACCACUGCCCCCGCCCCGCAUGCAGGUAAUGAACAGGCGUGAGCCGUGAGCACGUGCCCUGCGUGGCAUUUCACAGCUGGAGCGCUCUGCCUCUCGUGGCUGGCGGCUCGGGAGCUUUGGCUGUUGGCAGCAAUGCCGGGCUGCGAUGCGAGCUGCCUGCAGACUGACGUGCCCACAGCUGCACAGAUGUCCGCGGGACUGGCGCUUCAACUGAGCAGGAGAUUUUCCUUUAAGGAAUUCACAUUUGAUGCUGUGUAACAUAGGACUGGAGGGCAAAGCAUUUAGCGGCGAGAUGGAUGAUUAUUGUUUUAAAUGAGUUCACAAUUAUUUGAUGGAGUGGAAAACAAAAAAAUGUUUUUCUGGCAUGUGAUCUUUUCUGUGCUUUUUUUUUUUUUUUCCCCCUGCCUGAUUUAUGUUUUCUGUCAAACACUUCCAUGCACACGUGCCCCUGUCCCAGCACCUCGCUCCCGCUGUGCCCGCAAGCUGCACUCCCUGGCGCAGGCGGGAUCGCUGCGGGUGCUGCUGAGCGGCCACGUCCCAGGGGAGCUCCCAGCUGAGGGGACUGAGCCGCGAGCGACUCGUCCCAGAGGAGAUGUCAGGAGACGUUCACUGGAGAAAGUGCCUCUCUUUGAGGAAGAGCACUGGCUCAAUGCCCGCCUUGAGGGGUAGGAGCACGUGCUGAUGGAAACGGAGCUCUGCAGUGUAACACAGGAGCAGCUGCCCUGGGAGCUGUCCUUCCUCUGGCUCCUGAGCUGAAGCUGGGCCUUGCUGCUUGUUUUAUCAGCUGCAGCAGACGCGUUGCCUUGCUCUGGGUUCCAUCACUCAGUGAAGUGGAAGCAGCAUUGCCCAGCCCCGCAUGGAGCAGCCCCGCGUUGCCUCCCAGCAACCAAAACCCCUGCUUGGCAGACCCUGUGGAAAGCAUCAGGCCAGGCAAAAACAGCAUAUACAGAAUGAAAGAUGCUCCAGGCUCUUCCUCGGCUCCACGAUAAUGAACACACACCCAGCCAGGCAAGCAGAUAGUGCUGCUCCUGCCCGGCCUCGCUCCUGGGGGCGGCUCAGUGCGUCGGAGCCGGGGCUGACCCAAGGAGCUGCGGACGGCGCCUGGUGGAGCAGGAGAAGCCCCAGUGCAGCAGUAACAGCAAGUGACCAAGCUUGUGUGGGUUGCAAGGGCAGCCUUUGCAACACCUACAAACAAACCAUCAGUUGUUUGUCCUGCAAGACGCAAAGAGGGAGCGAGGCUUUGCUGCUGCUUGCUGGAGCUGAAGUGUUGAAGACAUAAAUCCAUACAAUGGAGGAGCAUCGCAUGGGAAACACUGCCUUCAGGAGAGUUGUAAUGAAAAAUGAAACCCCAGGAAGUGAUCCUGCAUCUUAACAGCUUUGUCAGCAGAUGACUUUUGUUCCAGUGUUCUGGGGCCAUUUUUCUUGAACUGCCAUUGUAACGGAUGGAGAAUUUUUACGUGCUCGGUGUGAGCUGCUCAGAUCCAAAGCCAUUCUGGAAAUAGUCUGACAGCCAUUUUACUGGCAAGGAAGCUAUUUAAAUGUGCAGCCUGUGCGGGAGAUGAACCGGCUGCCCCGUGUGAUGGCAAGCGGAAGCUGAUGGAUUCUGCUCGGGCCACCAGGUGACCUUUCUGCUUUCCAUUCUAAUUACUUUCCUGUCAGAUGUUCAAUUAGAGUGACGGGGUCCCAAAUUCCCAAAGAUCUCUGUUUUGUCUCAGAAGAUUAAAGGGUGGCAACUAUUUUCGAUAUGAUUAUCAUCAUUAUCUCUGGGAGAUUUUAUACUUCAGAAGUCAAAGUCAUAAUAGCCUGGCUCACUGCAAUUAUUUGCAAAUUGCCUUAAUGUAUUUUCCAGAAGCUCUUUCUGCACUUUGUAAUUUAUUUAUUUGCUAAGCCAAUAGCACAUUAAAACGCUAAAAUGUCUCUGAACCUAUAUGAAGCCUGUCUGAUGGUAACUGGCAUGGACGUUGCCAACAUCCCCUUCGCCACCAGCAGCCCUCGAUGCGUUUUGUUGGAAUGCCUCCCGUGGGGACUCUCUUGCUCUCACUGGUAAAAUACCAUGACUAAUUACUCCCCUUUUGCCUUUCUUUUUUUUCUUUUUGGUGAUGUUGCAGUAGUUCUCCAUGCUGGUGGAGAUGUUAGUGAAAAUACAUAUACAAACCAAUGCAGGAAAAUAUCUACAUUCACAAAAAAUAGCCUCUCAAAACACGCCCCGUCCCUUGACGCAGGUUUCAGUGGUGGAGGUGUGGAAUGGGAGCAGCAGCACUCAGGGAACCUCCAGCAGGGCUCUGCUGAAUGCUUCCAAUAUCCUGGCUGUGUCUGUGCCCUUUCUUCUCAUUUCUGAUGGGGAGCGGGGAGAAAAGAGACAAUGUGUCCUGUGUGUUAAAUGGAAACUAACCCAAAUAGCUUCUAAAAUACGCUUGGCUAAUUGUUCAGGAGUAAUUUACAGACCGAGAGUUACAUUGUAAUAAUUGUGAAUAAUGACUAAACCACGAAAAAAGGUAGAUGGCUUGCAGACAUUUUGUGAACAGAAAAUGAGGCUAAACUCAUUGAAUAAAUUAAUUGCAAUGGAUUAUUCCCUCGGCUUUAAUCUGCUGCCUGCUGAAAGAAAUCUGUGCAAACAGAAAAGCCGGUCCAUAGCUCUCAUUUUGAAAUGUGGCUGCUUUGCACUGAAUAGGAGAGAAAAGAGGCCUGAAAGGCUUUUUGCUGCGUUAUAAUAAUGUAUCAUGCUUGUAACACAAUUUUCACCUUCAGAGUUUUACCUGCCCUUUGGGAUGGGGCAGUUUUAUAAUCCCAUUUUAUUAGCAAGAAGCAGAUGGAGAGCCUGCAGGGAGGAGAGGUGAUUUCUCCCAAGGCCACACAUUGUCUCUUUGGCAGAAUUGGAGCUGGAGCUUGGGAUUUUGCAGUCCCUGGCUGAUGCUUAUGAAAUUCUUCUGUUUGAAGGCUUCGCUUUCCUGCAGAAACACGCAUACUGGGAGAUGAGCAAAACAACCCUAAGCUGAUUUGGGGCUUUGCCAAUGAAAAUUCAGAGGAAAGAAGAAAUGAGAAGACAAGUCCUCCAGUCCUCCAUUUUAGAAGAUCAAUCCUGCUCCUUUUCUUUCUGCGUGGGCCCUCCAGCUCCUCCAGGAGCAUUUACUGCAUCGCUGCAGCGUCUGUGCUCAUGUCCUGCAUACAGGCACGUGGAGAAUGGGCUAUUGCACUUUGGUCUUUGAUCUGCUCAGAUCUUGCAAGCUGAGUGGGCUGGAAGUCGGACAGUGUUUGGGUAAGAGAUACACAGGAAUUCCAUGAUGCUGAGAGGAAUUGCUUGGGACGGAAGAUGGCAGUUUCUGCUUGGAGUCAGUGCUGAACGAGUACCCUGGUGCAGGGGGUGUGGAAUGCUGCAGGCUCCAGCUGCAGAGGAGGUGCAAAACACAUCCUACGAACCUCGGAGUGAAUGUCUCGGCCAAGAUCGAAUAGGGUAAACCUGGGCUGAACCGAACACUGGCUUUUUUCCAGAUAUGUUUGUUUGCACUAUAUCAUCUCACCUAAUCUGUACGGGAAGUGUAUUUAUCCUAGAGCAGUGGGGCAUUUGUACUGCUUGCUUGUCACCAAGAAUAAUGGAGAGGAUAGCAGACGAUCUCCAGAAGCCGCCUCCUGCCUUCGUUUGGUGACCAGCCCUUCUGCAGCACUUCCACAAUUGUCAGGAGUGAUUUGAAUUCUGAUCCUGCCCUCAGAAGUGCCUGCAACCCUUCCAGCUGCAAUCAUCACGACUUGUAUCCGUGUCAUCUGUGCUGCAGCAUCGGAGCCUGUGCAGGAGCGCCCGGGAGCCCUGUUCAGCCGUCCUUCAGCCUCACAGGGGACACUCAGAACACUUCGGUGAUUUUCAAUGUGUUCAUACCCAAUUUAUGUUAAUUUUAUUUAGACUUUGCUUCUUCAGCUUUACUUGUGAGCCUGCAUUAGGGAAUUGUGCACGGCACCUUGCUCAGGCACUGCGCCGUGCCUCCUAUCUCCUCAGCAAUGAACUCAUUUCCCCCUCCCCGCCAUGGCCUCCCCUUCCCUGCCCAAAUCCUCCUGAGGUUUGAUUUCUGUUAUUAUUUAUUUCUUCUUGAGAAAAGUAUAAACUCAUCUUGGCUACGCCUCUCGGGCCUCCGCCUAAUCUUCGAGGUGAUGACAACUUGAUGGAUGAAUAAUAGAUUUCGGUACCUUUGCAGCUGUCUAGGGGAGCUGUGAUUUCUAAAUGCAUCCCUUAAGAUAGGAGCGGCAUUCGUCCUUCUCCAGGAUUUUGUGUUUAAUCCACUCUGUUGUCUUUUCAUUACUGAAACCCUUUUCCAUUGUAAUAUACAACACAAAUAUUCAGUAACUGGCCAUUUACAUUGUGUGAAGUAUGGACCCAAAGUUUUAGGUGUUGCAGAAAUUCUAUAAGUGAUAUUCCUGGUUUGAGAAAACUUAAAUAUUUAGCAGUCAAGGUGGACAGCUGAAAGCAUUGAAAACAAACACAGAAGGAAAGUAAUGGAGUGGUUGAGGCACAGAUCAGUGGAAAACGGAGGUUAAAAAUCACUCUUGGAUUUAUUCCCCAGAAUAAAACUUCACCCUUGCUCCAGUGGCAUUUUUUGAUGGAGUAUGGAAGGUACUGGAAAAUAAAACUGGUCCCUUGAAGACAUUUCCAAUCGAAGAGUAACAUGAAAUAUGAUUUUAUCCUGUUAAAGAUGGGGAUUUUUAAAGUGCAUAAUACUCCAAAUUCUCUAACUUUCUGUUAUUCUAUGCUAUCCUUCCAAUGUGGAAAGUCGGUAUUGAUAUACUUGACGCAUAAUGUUAGCAAAAAAAAGUAUUUGGAGAAAGCUGAAUUUCAUCUUCUUCCUUUCAUCUUCUUCCACUACAGAAUCACAGAAUCCUUAGAGUUGGAAGGGGCCUCUGAGGGCCACCUAGUCUGACUGCCCUGCAAUGUACAGGCGCACCGCAGCUCUGUCAGGCUGCCCAGGGCCUGGUCCAGCCCAGCCUUGAAAGUCUCCAGAGAUGGGGCAUCAACCAAUGUGAAUACAAACAGAAAGUGGUUACCAAUUACUUCCCAUUGAUAGAAGGCAUUAUUUGUCCAUUUAUUUUACUGGAGUGUUUGCUGAAAUUGAAUUUCUUGAUUAAUGAUCUUCAGGAGGCGAAGCUGAAAAGAUCUGCUUGGGUAACCACAAGGAAACUGUGACAGGAUGUGGUGGGUUCUGUGCAGCACCGACCCCAAACCGCUGGUCAGAAAUUAUCACUGAAGAAAUUCUGCUGGAAAUGCAGGCAGCCCCAGGCUGCACGUAGGAAUUCAGCUUUCCUGAACCUUUCUGCAGAGGAGGGGGGGGUGGAGGCAAACAACCACAGCCUGCUUACCGGGCUCACCCAGGCAUGCACACUCGCCUCUCUUCCCAAAUCUGCCUUGUUUGUGGCAUUCCAGGGUCUAUAACUGUCACUGCUGAGGCUGCCUCUCUCGUGCUUCUCUGCCAUUCUCCCUAGUUCUUUACUUCCUGCUCCUCUUGUUCUUCACCCUACAGGUUAUAACUCUGCCCUGCGCUGCUGCUGCCCCACUCUCGUCCUGUGAGCUGCCUUUACUUGCACCUACACGCAGCUGCCAGGCUGCCUCUUCCCCGUUACCCCAGAGCAGUUCUGCCUGUAGGCCCGUGCCAUCCUGAUCAGACAUUUCCCUGCUUCAGCAGGUUCUCUACAUUACAAGCCUUUUCAAGGGUGCCGUGACACCUUAUGCAUCGUAUGGACUGUUUGCUGUGCACAGAUCGCAGUGAAGCCAUCUUUCAGCUUGCUGGGGGCUUUUCCUUGAGCUCACACAUGUCAUAUCACUAACGAGGCCUUGGGGCGGCUCGCAGCCACCACCUCACUCCUUCUCUUUUCCUCGUUUCAACCCUUUUAGGAUUACCGGUGUUACAAGGCCAUAGCAAACCAAAUCUUAUCUGCGCUGGAGAAUUCAUUGAAAAUGAAUGUAUUUUUGUGCAGGAAAGUGAACGCUAUGCAAGUAGAUGAACUGCUUGUGUUUCGCAUAGCAUCUGAUAAACAUCUGCCUCAUAGGUGCAUGGCUUAAUGGGAAAACCAACUGCUAGUUGCACACAGACUUGCUUAAUGUGCCUCGAGUCCAUUUUAACCUCCCCGCAAGAAAACAGAGCUCACCUCCGUACUUAGCUCAUUCCUACCCCUGAUAAAUCCAACUCAAAAAUCUAAUUUGCUGCUGAAAAAACCUUAGCCUGAAAAAGGAGAUUAGUCCUGUUAAGAAGUUUGUGGAAAAUUGUUCACCACAACCUGGGCAGCGAAGUCCUUUGGGGUCCUCCCCGUGACUUGAGUGGGAGUUCAGGCAAACCUUCUGCCACAAAAAUAGCCUGAAUCAAUACUUCGAUUCAUCCUAGGGAAUGGAAAGUGUGAUAAUGUGCUAAAUGCUACUUUGGCUUCUGAUAUACUUUUUACAUUAUAAGAACUGAUGAAGCAUUUAAUGGGAGAAAAGAGAAAAAACAACGAAUCAGGGAGUGUUCCCCUAGGCUGCUGAGUACGUGUGGUGUGAUAAAUAAAAUACCAUUAUUAAUCUCAGCUGGGGGCAAAUGACGGAUUCACAGUAGAAAGAAUAAAAGCCCAUGCAAACAAACCACAACCACUUGGAAAAACAUCUCCGACAUAAAAGCAAAAAUCACGGAUGUUACAUGAAUCUUUGUGGCUAAUGGUCCCAAAUACGGCCAAGCGUUGAGCAAAGUUUUGAAUGCAAUUACUUCUCUUCUUUCCUCUUCCUCGGGUGGCUCUCAGCCAGGUGCGAUGUUCCCCAUUCCCAGCUCAUUUGCUGCACCACUGCUCCCCUCUGCACAGCCCCCAGCCCCUCCCUCGCAUCCUGCUGUGUUCACAGUGCAGGUGCAGAAGCCAGGGCUGCACACUGCCUUCCUGCAGGGACAGAGGUGACGGAGGUCCCCCCUGCCCCUGGGAGCUGUGGGACUAUCCCUGGUGAGGCCCUGCCCUGUGCUGUAUGUCUCUAGAGAGCAGCAUCUUGGGGAGGCCAUCCAGAAGAGGUGCUUAUGCGAUGCUGUGGUCAGAUUGGGCUGAGCAUGUAUAAUUAAUUUCAUCUUAAAUCAAUGUAGAGCAUAAAUAAUGAAGCACCUCUUAAUGGCCCUUGGGCUGGGCAGGGGUUGAGGCAGAUAGCGCAGCACGUGGAAUGGAAGGAGCAGCUCCCCUCGUGUCAGCUCCUUGCAGGGCAGGACUAAGUCAGCCCCACUACUGGCAACUGCUCACACUGCUCUCAGAUCCCUGAAGUUAACUUCCCCCCCGGUUUAACUUACGCCGGUGUUUCAAAAGCAGCCUCCUCUUCAGAAAGAGCACCUAAUUUCUGCAUUACUUUUAACUUUAAUAAAAGAAGGUGCUGCAAAGAGCAAUAGCUGGGGAUGGAAGUUACACUUCCACUGACUCGGGGAUGAACUGCUGCAAAGAGAAACCCCCGGGAGCUGAGGGCUCCCUGUCUGCCUGCAGCCCUCUGGCUGGAGCUCUGGCUGCUGCUGGGAAGGCGCUGGGUAAGCUCUUCCCUCAUUCCUGUUCAGAUAUUACCUCAUAUUUCUGAUCUGAAUUUCACAUGCUGUCUUCUGGGAACUGUGAUACCUUUCUGCUCCGGAAAGACGCCAUUACAAUGAUGUGUUUGCUGCUACCAUUGCUCUCCUGCACCGAGUGCCACGUUUCCUAAUUCCUGAGAUGAAAUGGGGAGGUUUAGCACAAUUGCAUCCGUUAAAACCAACCACCGCUGUGAUGGCAAAGCCCUUCGCAAUACCCCAGAUCUGUAAUUCGCACAUGAAUCCCGAUCAGUUUUCUGUAGCUCGUGGAUGAGAAUGAAACGGAGAUGGCUUGUUCAGCAAAGCGCCUGGCAGCCCGGUGCCCAUCCAUGGGGUGCUCCUCGCCGUGCUCCGGCCCACCCCACUCACCUGGGGCUGCACACAUGGGUGUGAUCCCCUGCAGGAUGUUAUACCACAGCAGAAAAUUCUGUGCUCUGAACAGCCAGAAUCCCACGUCAGAGUGUUGUUAAGCAAAUACAGCAGUUUUCUGAUGGUCAGAUUUACAAGGUGGAUGGAGGCUGGCUGCGGGGGGAGCUGAGCUGUGUGAGCUGCCGGCUCGGUGCUGCUGCUCCUGCUGGCCCUCGAUUCUCUCUCCUGUUUUCCUUGCACGCAGGCAGCCUUCUCUGUAACGAAUGGCCCUGUGCCCACCAUCGCUUCGUUGCAGCAUCAGGAAAAAAACAGAUAGAUGUUGCCAUUUACCUGGGUGGCUGAGAAGCAAUUUCAAGCAAUGGAAGUUUGGGCCCAGUAGCGUUCAUCAUGUCGGCUCCAGGAGAGAAAUUAGUCACAGCGUAAGUAAAUAAUGGAGAAGAUGCAGAAGGCAGAGUGAGGCAGCAUUUUUCUCCACCUUUCGAUUGCUAUGUUGCAGAAGGCAUUGCCACGGAGAAGAGCAAUCUGCAGCAUUGUUGCUUUCCUCUGCAAAAAGAUGGCUGUGGUGUUGGGCAGGUCAAUGUCUGGGAAUGCCUCCUGGUUUUACAGCCAGGAUGCCCUCUGAUUUUAUAAACAAAUCUUUUAGCAGCUUUCAGGGCUUUCCCACAGCUCUGCUGAAGUUGUUGUUUGCAGUCCUGCCUCCUGGUUUCCUAUGGACUGGGCAGUGCAGAAGUGCAGAAGUGGAAGCAGCGGCACAUACAGACUGCAGGACGGUGAGGCUGCGAGUUUGGAAUUCUAUUUCUACUCCUGUUUUUCAGGUUGAAAGGAUGGAAGUGCACCAUGUAAGUAUUCAAGGUCUGGGGACUCCUCUGAGUCAGCCCGUUGUAAACCUAAAAUUAAUUCCUUAACCCUGUGCGUGGCUUCUGCUGAGGGACCGCUGCCCCUCUGCCCAGCGCUGUGUCUGGAAUUCCCUGUGCUCUUUUGGGGUAAGAGUGAAUGGCUCUUAAUAUUUAUGAGUAGUUCUUCCACAUGUGCUGUUUGCCCAUACUGAUGGAAGGAAUGUUCUCUGCUUAUUGUAACUGCUGGCUGCACAGAUUGCAUAGGAUGAAAGAGCAAAACAGCACAGAAGUGCUGGGGGUUUCACUGGGAGGAGCCUGAAUCCCAUACUCAGAGUUCUGCAGGUGCAGCUCCCAGCUAUCUGUCACCUCAUCACAGAUGCACUGUGCAACGAUUUCUGGUCUGCGCUCAGACCGGAAUGGAGCCUUGUGCCUGCCCGUGCCACAAUUUCCCUUCCAUCUCAAGGCCACGGGAAAAUUACAUCAGCUGCUCCUUCCCCUUCAUGUUCAUUCAUCAUUUCCAUAUGGUAACUGUGCCGCGGUGCCAUGUGCUGUGCAGCUCAGCCGCGCUGGGAGCUGCCAACAUUAGAAUCAAUUUUUGCUCUGAACCAGCAAUGAGGAGCUGCUUCCUAUCACGCUGCAAGGAAAUGAGCACUGGCUUGAAAGCAGUUGGUUCUGUAUUCCCAUUCCUCAUAUCUCCUUGGGAUCUCAGAAGGUUUUUUGAUCAUAUUGGACUGGAAGUAUGAGCUUUUGAUGAUUCUCUUUGAAUACCGUUUGGGGGUUACUUUUCUAUGUAUAGCCAAUAGCAUCUUUUAUGAGGUCACAGAAACAUGUUUCUGUAAAUUGACUUUUUUUCAUUUCUACCACAACUGAGCCUGAACGUGAAGAGCUGUGUGACAAUUGCAGAGGUGGAAUGGUGAAGUCUGGCGCAGACCUGACUUUUUAGUUUUCCUGUUGUGUGUCACGAGUCAGCCUAACUAACGUGCAGGUGUCUGGGUCUGUGGCUGGUGGCUGCCCUGGUGAUGCCAAAGAGCUCGGUCCCACAGUUAAUAAAGACCCAGACAUGGGUCGAUGGAGCUCUGCUGUCCCCUCUGAUAAACAGAUCCCUGGGAGCGCAGCACGCUCCUCCUGCUGAGACAGAAAGUGGUUGUGACAGAAAGCUCUUGUGACCCUGAGACAUGACAGUUAGGGAGGUUUCUCAGUUAAUGAGAUUUUUCUCAGCUAACAGCCUGCCUGCUGAGCAGCCGGACCCAGCCCGCCCCUCGCACACUGGUGGCAGUGUCCCUGCCAGGAGGGGACAUCGGGUGUGGGUCUCAGAUCUGCACGGUGCGGCACCAGCUCCACUGCCAGGGACGUGCGUGGUCCUCUCCCAGGUGUGAAGGGGUGGGGGGAGCAGCUCCCCACCAACAACUGCCUACAUACAGAAAUCCAUCCAAACGGGCCUUGGGCGUGAUUUGUUGGGUUCAUGCUUCAGAGACCCUGCAGUAACUAAAACUGUACCUAUGGAAAUAACUCACUUCAGAGAGCCGAAUGCUUCUUGGCUACAGGACAAGCGAGUGCCCAGCUGCAGCUGGUCCCUGUGGGCCAGGGCAGUAGUGCCCAAAGGUCUGUGUGCCUCAGCAGCCAUGGCGGCAGCAGGUGGGGGUGUGCGAGCCCCCAUCACUGGGAUGUGUGUGGUCUGGGCUGGGAGCAUCUCAGGACAGCUGCCCAAGGGCCGGGCUGGGGGUGUCGCUCCCAGCUCCAGAGCCCGGUGCUGGCUGGGGGCUUAUGGGGGGAGCAGUGCCAGUGCUGGGCCGGUUCGUGCUUCUCACCGCUGCCAACAAGCCCGCUUCCCCACAUCACGCAGCGCUGGGAUCCCAGCUCUGUGCUCGCAGCCAGAAUCCCACUGCAGGAGAGGGCACUGUCUGACGCCAAGAACGCGAUUGGCAGUGCCGAGGCGGCGGCUUUCCAAACCAGAAGGUUUCUGAUGCUGUCAUGUGGGAGCUCAGCUCUCCCCCAGCCCUCACUGCUGUCUGUUCCUCUGGAGCGCUCUGGAGGCUGUGCCCGCGGGAGGGAUUGCACUCACAGAUCAGAUGCCACAGCACAGACAGGAGGAUGCUCUGCAAAACACAGAGAAGCAGAGGCAGAAGAUGUAGGGGAAAAAGAAAGAAAUUUGAAUUUGUUACUGGGAGGAGUGAAAUAAACAUGGGAACAUUUCCCAGGA